rnacentral:rRNA from 1 species
GCCUACGGGGGGCAGCAGUGGGGGAUAUUGCACAAUGGGGGAAACCCUGAUGCAGCGACGCCGCGUGGGCGAAGAAGUAUUUCGGUAUGUAAAGCCCUAUCAGCAGGGAAGAAGAAAUGACGGUACCUGAGUAAGAAGCACCGGCUAAAUACGUGCCAGCAGCCGCGGUAAUACGUAUGGUGCAAGCGUUAUCCGGAUUUACUGGGUGUAAAGGGAGCGCAGGCGGCACGGCAAGCCUGAUGUGAAAGCCCGCGGCCCAACCGCGGGACUGCAUUGGGAACUAGCGGGCUGGAGUGCCGGAGAGG